rnacentral:tRNA from 1 species
UGCGGGGUAGAGCAGUGGUUAGCUCGUCGGGUUCAUAUCCCGAAGGUCGGUGGAUCAUACCCACCCCCCGCAUCCA